rnacentral:rRNA from 1 species
UACGUAGGGGGCAAGCGUUGUCCGGAAUCAUUGGGCGUAAAGCGCGCGUAGGCGGCCCGGUAAGUCCGCUGUAAAAGUCCAGGGCUCAACCCUGGAAAGCCGGUGGAUACUGUCGGGCUAGAGUCCGGAAGGGGCAAUCGGAAUUCUUGGUGUAGCGGUGAAAUGCGUAGAUAUCAAGAGGAACACCUGAGGUGAAGACGGGUUGCUGGGCUGACACUGACGCUGAUGCGCGAAAGCCAGGGGAGCAAACGGG